rnacentral:lncRNA from 1 species
UCCGUCCUAUAUAUUGAUUUUCAUAUUAGUGAGUAAGUAGUACAAUGUCAUUGCAAUGAAGAAGUUGAUAAUAUUAUUGCAUAUAUGUAAGAAAGCAAAUGCAUCUGCUUUGUGUAUUACACAAAUUUCAACUUAUGCUCAUAUGAUAAUUCUCUUUUCGAACUUAAAAGGCUUCUCUAGAGAAAAUUGAGAGACAUGUUCUUCAAAUUGAUCACAAUAGCCAUGUUGCCAUUAAGAUUAGCCACCAAAAUGCUGUAGAAAACAUGACCAAGUGCCUCCACAUGAUUUUAUUGGAAUUGUUGAUUUUAAAAAUCCAAUUUAAAAACAAAACAUUGCUAUGUAAUCAUGAAAACCAAAGAAUUGAAAAAUAACAUCAAAUUUCUUUCCUUCUCUAAGUUCGUUCCUGCAAAACCAGGAAGAAAAAUAAUGUCUUACAUAAAAGAGAGGACACUUUGGCUAAAGCUCUUCAUUUACUGGACUCGGAAAAUUUGCUUACUACCAAAUUUAUUUAUCCCAAAAAUAAAAAGAAAAUACUUUUUGAUAUAGAAGCAUCAUCUAUUGACUACAAAUUUCAAGUAUUUCUUGGGAGUAACAAUGUCACACAAGUAGAUAUGAGAAUUAAGAUGGGCGUCUUCUCCUUAUCAGUUCUAAAAUAUUUCGAGUAGACUCCCUACAUGUGAUUACUUAGGUCAGAUGGUAAGUGUUGAAGCUCCUGUUAGUGUUCGCUCUUUAUCAGAGGUAUCAUGAGACAUAGAUACAAUUCUAAACCUAUUGAUAGAACAUAUAAAUUAUUACCCUGUAUUUUGUUUUUAAUAUAUAACCCGUCUCAUUUCAGCCUUCAAGUACCUUUCUUGUCCAUUUGUUUACCUCAAGUCAGUAACUCCAAAAUGGCAAGAGAACUUUUCAUUGUUAAUGAUAUCUUUGAUAGAGCAUUUUCUACUAACAGCUUGCUCAAACAUGUUGGUCACUUUCCAUGUUAAUGCAGUGAGCCUCAAGUCCAUUUCUCGUGAUUAUAGAUGCUAGAAUAACUAUAAUAUUCAGACGUUGAAGAGUCUAAAGACAUCUCGGAAGCAUUUGACAAAGAAGGGUUAUCCUCAUCCUAGAGAGAAAUCAGUAAGCAUGUUAACUUCAAGUCAUAUGUAUAAUAAGUAAUUACCGAGAAAUAAAAAAUGAUUCAGAAACAAUGAAUUACAUCAAGUGACUAAUAUGCUCUGCCUAUUAAAUUUGUAAGAUUUAAGCUCUAUCUGGUACACUAACUUUAAACUUUAAGUUACGGGACUUAGCACACAGGACCUUUGUUUGUUAUAGGGGAACCAUCUCUAUUAGUCAAGCUUGACAGUCACUACCUAACGUUUUUGGUAAAUAAAAAUUCAAUAUGUCCGAGAAUGAAAAUGAGGACAUAUUCAGCAGAAAGUUUGAAAGUUUAUUGAACCAAAAUAAAUGAUAACCCAAUUACUGCUUAAGGAUAGGGCAUACUUCAGGAAAGGUUGAGAGAAAUAGAAAACCUGAACUCCACAUGAAGUCCCAUUUCAUUAAAAUUCAUCACAUAUCAAAAGAUAGAGAUCAUGCCAAAUCAUAUUAACUUGUAUUGAUGAAUUGUUUAAGGUAAAUUUAAUAGUAGGCUAUGAUUUUAAACAUCCAAUGCAGAAAAAUACUUUAUAUAUCUGCAGAUAGACAUGAACAUAAUCUAAAGCAAAUACAUACAUAUUACAUAGAGUACAAAAGACAAUUGAUCUCGUGCUUCAAUCAUCUUAGGAAUAUCCUCAUGCUAAAGGGAAGAAAUUAUCACUAACAUGGUGCCUCCAUUAGUUGGAGGCACAAGUUAUUCCUAAGUUUAAAUAUCGAUUCAAAACUAUAAAAGAUACUUUGAACAAGAAAAAGAAAGAAGCAGUAAACCAGUGAAAGUGAAUUACCAACCUGACCAGCAAGUGAGAAUAGCAAGAUUCCCCUUGACCUCCUUGGGGAGUUGGCAGUUGAAUUCAUCAAAAGAAUAAACUGAAAACUUAAAGGAUGACAACACCUUUAAGCUUCAAUCUUCAUAUCAAUGUUUGAUGAGCUAUGAAUAACUAAGGUUGUCUAAAUCGAAAUAAACUCAACUACAU